rnacentral:rRNA from 1 species
UACGUAGGUGACAAGCGUUGUCCGGAUUUACUGGGCGUAAAGAGCGCGCAGGCGGUCGUUCAAGUCGAGUGUGAAAGCCCCCGGCUCAACUGGGGAGGGUCACUCGAUACUGAUCGACUUGAAGGCAGGAGAGGGAAGCGGAAUUCCCGGUGUAGUGGUGAAAUGCGUAGAUAUCGGGAGGAACACCAGUGGCGAAGGCGGCUUCCUGGACCGACAUUGACGCUGAUGAGCGAAAGCUAGGGGAGCAAACGGG